rnacentral:rRNA from 1 species
UACGGAGGGGGCUAGCGUUGUUCGGAAUUACUGGGCGUAAAGGGCGCGUAGGCGGCUUGACAAGUCACUUGUGAAAUCUCCGGGCUUAACUCGGAAUGGCCAAGUGAAACUGUCAUGCUAGAGUGCAGAAGGGGCAAUCGGAAUUCUUGGUGUAGCGGUGAAAUGCGUAGAUAUCAAGAGGAACACCUGAGGUGAAGACGGGUUGCUGGGCUGACACUGACGCUGAGGCGCGAAAGCCAGGGGAGCAAACGGG